CCUCCUCCCUCGUCCCCAUCUCCUCGCCGCCGCCGCCACCUCCCAAUCCAGUCCUCUCCCCUCCGUUCCCACCCACCACCGACAUUGCCAUCCUCCUCACCCACCGCUGCCGACCUUGUCCCUCCCUCCCCUCACCAUCUCUCCCCACCCUAUGCCAUAGCGCUCCCUCUCCCCGAUCCCAUCCCUCCUGAUUCAGAUCUGACCCCGCCGCCCGUGCCCGCGCGCCACCACCCACUCCUCGUCGCCUCCCGAAGGACGUCCGCCGCUCUUCCUUCGCCCGUCCCGGAGGCCUCAGUCGGCGCCCUCCGCCGCAGGGCCGCCGCGCUCGUCCCGCCCUCGGCGCCGCAUCUCCACUGCCAUCUCCGCUUAUACAUCUCCGCCCUCGGCAUCCCACCCAUGGCGCUCCGCGCGCUGGACAACGCAUUGCCGGCCGCCGUGGCGGACCAGCGCCCCAAGAAGGCCGCCAAGCUUCUCUCCACGGCACCUCCUGUCGUCGUCGCCCGCUCCCCCACUGGGAGUGGAGCCGACCAUGGAGUACGUCCGGUCCGUGGACCUGCUGCCCGUCCUCGGCCCCAAAGCCCGGGCCACUGGCCUCGUCGCCGGGCUCGACUCUAGGGACUGGGUCAUGGUCUGCGAGGCCCUCAACGACGCGCGCUGCCUCACCAUCCACCACCCCGUCCUCCUCGCCCCCAUCCUCAUCGGGAGGUGGAAGUGUGCAGCGUUGCCGGGGAUAGUCCCACUCUCAUACCACCUGCGCAAGCAGCCUGCACCGGCGCCGAAGUGGUGGUGCGCAUGACCUGCGCUUGUGGUGUCCACAAGGAGUUCUGCUUUGACCACCCCCACUGAAUAAUCCUGAGACUCUGUUUUUGCAUUAUUUUUUUUGAAAGAUCCGGGGUUGCCGGUAGCAAGCGGGAAAACAGUGGUGAUCAAAUGAUCAUGGUUACAUGAGACUCUGUUUUUUGCAUUAUCGACGGAUUGGAUUGCUCCGUACCUGGCAGAGUCUUUUGCGCUUUCCACUCGACUAGCAAUUUGCCGUGCCCCUGACCUGAUUUUUGGCCAGUUGUAACUGCGUUAUUUUGCUAAUCAAAGUGGUACUAAUAGAUUGGAAUUCAUCAUAGGAAUUGAACUUGUUUUCUUGAUUCAUUUAUACUAUGUUGAUCAUCUGGUGCAUUAGUAUACAGUCAUAGUAGAAUCAUGGCUCUGUGUAUACGUACUACUGCCUGCCAUCAUGUGCCACCAUAUGUUCUAAGUAAGACUAGCAGACUAUUAGUGGCUUGUGUACCAAUUUUCUCGUGCCCAUGGUUGGCGUGCGCUGGGGUAAACACAUGACCACACACUAGUAACUGCACAACUCUGAAAUGCUUGCUAAUGAUUACUCAUCUUUGUUACACCAUGCAUGCACCUACAGCUACAGGGAUCUGUACUGCUUACUGAAUGAAUGAAUGAUGUGCAUCUUUCUUCAGUUUGAUUGAGAAAUGCCCCCCUUUCCUGUGCUUAGAUAUGCCCACUAAGCAACCAGAAGGUUUCCAUUUCGAUGUCGUGUCUCCUAGCAGUAUGCCUAGUUACCUCACCCUCUAAAGAAAACAUGUCCUUAACUGCUAGUGUCCAGGAUUACUAUGUUUCUGUAUUGCUGUAGAGGUGACUGAAUUUGUUCCGUACACGCAAGUAUGGACUUCUAGGAAUGAUUGUGUGUACCAUUAUCACAUGCCAUGUUUUUGAUUAGCAAAACAUCGUUGACUUGGAACAAGGGUUGGUACUGGUUACUGAAUGAUGUGCGUUUUUUCUUUAGUUGAAAAAAAUUCCACCCUUUUUGUGCAUAAAUACAUCUGCCCACCAAGUCACCAAACAUGUUGCAAGGCUUGGACAUUGGUGGAACUUUAUCUAAUGCUCUUGUUCUCCUGUGUUUACCAGCUUCAACUCUAGUUAAUUUGGUCUAUUAUUAUCCCAGAAGCUGCAAUGAUGGAGAUCACACGCUCCUUCGACCAGCCAUGGCUAGCCUCCGUCUUCGGCCCCUCCAACCUCGCCCCCGACCUCGCCUGCUGCUCCUUCGACCACACGCUCCGCUGCAAGGCCUUCGAGUACAAGUGGUGACGCUGCGCUCCCACGGUGACGCUGCGCUCCUCCUAGCCCCCGUUUCAUGGUGACUAGUGAUGCAACACACCAAGCAGUAACAGGCAACCAAGCAGCAGCAGGGGGAGGGGCUCUCUCGAACGUCGCCGCUGCCACUCAUUGCUACUGUCACUGAUUGAUGAUGGAUGAUCGUUGUUAGUUUAGCUCGGUCGCUGUUCGUUUAGCUCCUUGGUAGUCCCUACUGCUGCUGGUAGAAAUAGAAAUGGUAGUUGUAGUCCCAUGUAGUUGUAGUACCAUGUAGUUCCUCUACUCGGGCUGCCCUUUGUUGCGUCAUUUCUAUGUU